GGUUGUAUCCUGAUAAUCUGUCCUUAAAAAUGGGCAAACUGUGACUCCACACUCACGGGAAUACAGCUGUGACUGCUCUGACUCCAUCACAGCCUGGAGAAUGGGAAGGGGAAAUUGCUGCCAUCGUUAAUAUCUUCAAGACUCCGAAUGACUGCUGGGACUUUGGAGGAUAUUUAGACGUAGGAUGGAGGAGACACAGGCCUGUUCAAAGAGAUGCAGCUGGAAAUGGGAAAGGGUGUGUGCAAGAAGGGAAGAACUAUAUUUCCAACACUAUAUUUUAAUCUAAAUGUAAUACUGGAUUUCUCCACCUUGAGGAGCUUCAAGGCUUCUUUUUUUUUUUUUAACACAUCAUUCCUCAAAGAACAUA